UACGUAGGGUGCAAGCGUUGUCCGGAAUUAUUGGGCGUAAAGGGCUCGUAGGCGGUCCAUCGCGUCGGGAGUGAAAAGCUGGGGCUCAACCCCAGUCCUGCUUCCGAUACGGGUGGACUAGAGGUAGGCAGGGGAGAACGGAAUUCCUGGUGUAGCGGUGAAAUGCGCAGAUAUCAGGAGGAACACCGGUGGCGAAGGCGGCCAACUGGACGAGUACUGACGCUGAGACACGAAAGCGUGGGGAGCAAACAGG
rnacentral:rRNA from 1 species